rnacentral:lncRNA from 1 species
UUAUUGGUUUAUUAAUAUUAAAUUGAAUCACAGAAUUACAAAACCGAGUAUCACUGCCAUAAAUAGGUUUGGGAAUAAGCACUUGUUUCUGGGAAAGCAGAUGGGUUAACUGGAAGCGAUGUAUGUGGGUAUUCUAAGGAACAUCCUGCCAGACAGGGGUGUUCAGCCCACAGUUUAUGGAGAGCAUGGCAAGCGUGGCUGUUCCGAGAGGGCUCGUUCGGUGCUGGUGGAACAGAGAGCUCAGGCUGUGGUGUGGCUUCCACCACCCUGCAAACUAAGUCCCAUUCACUCCUCCAUCCCCUUUCAACCUUACAGAAAUGUGCUGAACUCUCUCAUCCGUCAAUGACCCCUGCCUCUCUUCCUGUCCUCUGGGUUUAUAUCUUCUCUUUUCCUUACUGUCAUUUUAAGGGGAGGGGGUGUCGAGAGGGAGAAAAGAUGAGCAUUAAAGUUCAAGCUGCCAUUUGUAUCCAGACAAUUCUCUCUUAUUUAAGACUCCCAACAGCCAGUGAGUGUCAGAGCCUAUUAUUAUCCCCACAAAGGUCACACAGCUGUAAGUGACAGAAGCAAGUUUCAAACUCAGGUCUGUCAGAGGCUGUAGUGGAUGCUGUGGUGCUUUGCCCAGAUCCCCUCUCAGGGUCAACACACCAUCGGCCAGCUGCUGGGGCGUUGGUUGCUGGUGGCUCCCUGGAAAUUGCCCUUGGCUGUAGGAACUGCCUCGCCCUGGCGGAAGUCUUUCCUCUGGAGAUCACCGUGGCCCGUGACUGGCUGAUGCAGGGAUAUGAAAGCCCAACCCUACUCCCUCAAUUUGGGACAAUUCUCAGGGGCCCUCCCAGCUCCAAAGCUCCUUGUGGGGUGAGGAAAUGAGGACAUAGAGGCUCAGAGGGUCAGAUGACUUACUGAAGAUGUCAAAUUAACGAGAGUGUGGUGAUCUGCAUUCAGUCUGUCUGGCUAUUUUUUUUCUCAGAGAGAGAGAACUUCCAGCUGCAGUGGAUCAGUUUAAUUCAUGUUAUUUGUUGAGUGCCCUCUGUGUGCUGAGUGCUGUGCUGUCUCCUAUAAAACGUCUCCAACAUUCCUCUUCCUCUUCCCCAGGCUGAGACUACCUUUAUUUCCCCAGCAAUUCCAAUUCUGUCUAGUCUUUAAGGUUCAGCUUUAGCCUGCUCCCUUCAGGAAGUUUGCCCUGAUUACCCCAGGAAUCCCUUCUUUCUGAACCUCUCUUGAGUGCCCCUCAAUUCCAGGAAAGAGUGUGCAGGAAAGAGUGAGAGGCAGAGUGGAUCCUUUUGUUUACCCCCAGGAAUUGACAAUAAGUUUAUAGCUUAGAAAAAGGACACAAAGUCCCCACAUUUUAAAGAGACUGACCAGGAGUCAGGGUGGCCUUCUUCUGGCUGAGAGGCUCCUGGUUAAAAAAACCAGCCCCACUCUGACCUCUUCCCCCUAGAAGAGGAGGAUUGCGAGAGGGAAAAGCUGUUUUUCAUCUCGUUUCCUUGGGGGAGACAAAGGAUUUACCCUCCCUGAGACAAGGCCCCAAGGAAAGGACGGAUUGACAUUUUGUUUCUCCGUUUAACUACCUGGCCUUGCUCUGGUGUAGCAGCAGAAACGCAGAGGAGACAGGGAGUUAUUUGGCCAGAUAAAUGGGGCAAGGACAGCCCUCAUACCAGUUCAGGUCUUGAAUUCCUCACAGUCCUCUGAGUAGAGAUGCAUAGAGAUUAGGGACCUCAUGCAGUGACGGGCAUCAGGAGAAUGAGUUGUGAGACCAUGAUGGGGGUGUCAGCCCAGGAUGAGGCAAAUCUCAGUGGGGAUCACCAGUAUGUAGUGGAGCUGCUUGGAGAGGGCCCUCAUCAGCAGAGUUUGUGAGAGCCUCUCCACCACCCAUAAGGAGCCCAUAGACAACAAAC